UACGUAGGCGGAAAAUUAAGUCAGUAGUGAAAUCCUGCAGCUCAACUGUAGAACUGUUAUUGAUACUGGUUUUCUUGAAUAUAGUUGAGGUAGGCGGAAUGUGUAAUGUAGCGGUGAAAUGCUUAGAUAUUACACAGAACACCGAUUGCGAAGGCAGCUUACUAAGCUAUGAUUGACGCUGAGGUACGAAAGCGUGGGGAGCGAACAGGAUUAGAUACCCUGGUAGUCC
rnacentral:rRNA from 1 species